rnacentral:lncRNA from 1 species
CAACUACGACUCGGACCACUACGAGAAGGACUGCCUGGUGCUGGAGCGCAGCGAGCAGCCGCACCCCGUGUGCACCUUCCAGGAUGACUUCCAGGAGUUCGAGAUGAUCGACGACAACGAGGAAGAGGAGGAGGAAGAGGACGAGGAGGAGGAGGAGGAGGAGGAGGAGGGCAACGAGCUGGAAGCUCCACCGUCGCCUUCGGCCUCGCCCAUCCCCUCGCCCGCCGUGGAGGAGACGCAGAAGCACCGGCCCACCACCCUCAACCUGACAGCGCCGGGCACCCAGGACUCCCUGAACAACAACGGCAGCUACCCGCCUCCCGCUCCCGCGCAUCGGACCACGUGGCAGGACGCCCUUCUCCACUGCUCCUCCUCCUCCUCUUCCUCGCACGCUGGGCACGCGUCUCCGCACCCCUGCAUCCAGGACGGACCCUGCCUGGAAAGCCGGAGGGGCCCGGGGCCGAGCCCAGG